GACGAACGCUGGCGGCGUGCCUAAUACAUGCAAGUAGAACGCUGAAGGAGGAGCUUGCUUCUCUGGAUGAGUUGCGAACGGGUGAGUAACGCGUAGGUAACCUGCCUGGUAGCGGGGGAUAACUAUUGGAAACGAUAGCUAAUACCGCAUAAGAGUAGAUGUUGCAUGACAUUUGCUUAAAAGGUGCAAUUGCAUCACUACCAGAUGGACCUGCGUUGUAUUAGCUAGUUGGUGGGGUAACGGCUCACCAAGGCGACGAUACAUAGCCGACCUGAGAGGGUGAUCGGCCACACUGGGACUGAGACACGGCCCAGACUCCUACGGGAGGCAGCAGUAGGGAAUCUUCGGCAAUGGACGGAAGUCUGACCGAGCAACGCCGCGUGAGUGAAGAAGGUUUUCGGAUCGUAAAGCUCUGUUGUAAGGGAAGAACGAGUGUGAGAGUGGAAAGUUCACAAUGUGACGGUAUCUUACCAGAAAGGGACGGCUAACUACGUG
rnacentral:rRNA from 1 species